rnacentral:lncRNA from 1 species
CAUGGGUCCCUGCAUGACACCCAUCUGCGCUCCACCCGCCUUCUCAUCGAAGCCGCCCGCCAUCUGCGCCGCAAAGUUUCCACCAAGUCCGGGGGGCCAGGAGGUCCGGGGGGACCGGGGGGGCCUGGGUUUCCAGGGGUGCCGGGUUCUCCAUCCCUUCCACGGGGGCCAGGAGCACCCUUCUCCCCCUUCUCGCCACGGUCCCCUCGCUGUCCCUGCUCUCCUGCUGGGCCCUGUGGUCCUGGAGGCCCUCGGGGUCCUACAACAUCUUUAAUAUCUCCGGGUUCUCCCUUCUGUCCCUUGGGGCCAGGUUGUCGGAGGUCGCGGUCCUGCGCGGCUGCGGCGGCCGUGAGAAGGAGGAGGAGGAGGAGGAGAGCGGCGGAGCGGGGCGGGCGGCGGCCGUGCAUGGCGGGCGGCGGAGCCCCUCUCACCGUCCGUCGGGCCGAGCAGUGCCGCACCGCCCCGACGCCGCGUAUAUGUCCCGGCGCGGCCCCCCGGGCUCUGUAACCCGAGCCGGGACGGCCCCCCCGACCCUCCUCCGGGACGGCACCGGCG